AAUAAAAAUAGGAUCAGUUAACAUAAGGUAAAGAUAAGAUUGUAUAACAUAGGAUUAGAUUAAUUGUAAAUAAAGCAGUCCUCCUUAGAGGGGGGGUGGUGGAGGGAAUAUUUAAGAAAUAAAAAUAGGAUCAGUUAACAUAAGGUAAAGAUAAGAUUGUAUAACAUAGGAUUAGAUUAAUUGUAAAUAAAGCAGUCCUCCUUAGAGGGGGGGUGGUGGAGGGAAUAUUUAAGAAAUAAAAAUAGGAUCAGUUAACAUAAGGUUAAGAUUAGAUUGUAUAACAUAGGGCUACAGUGAAGAAAUCAAAAAUUUCAAGGCAGCAUGAAGGUAACGCACAAUCAGGGAUGUGCAAUUUCUGAGGCAUGUAUUCAAAAAAAGUAUUUUAAUUGUGUUUUAUGAUUCAUAUUUGAGUUCAUGAAAUAAAAUGUUUUUUUCUACAGACUUUGA